UUAUUAUCUCGGCCUUUUGGCUAAGAUCAAGUGUAGUAUCUGUUCUUAUCAGUUUAAAAAGAGGUUAACCUAGACAGCAUAUUAAAAAGCAGAGAUAUUAAUUUGCCAACAAAGGUCUGUCUCAUCAAAGCUAU
rnacentral:snRNA from 1 species